UGAAUCUUUAGCAUACAUAGCGGUUGUCAAGGUGAUGUUCAAUCAUAAUAAUCGCAAAUUAUAGCAACUCUAAUCAUAAGCGUGUCGCAGUUCGCAUUAACGGCGAUAUCCAUUGAAAGGCAAGUUAGUAAACUACAGCGGGGUACUGCAGUAUAACGCCAAAGUCUGAUGCAAACAAAAUUAAAUUUUUCACCUCUCCAUUGGGUACAUACAUAUAUACUAUAUACAGCUGCAAGGUCAAUACACUAUCCGUUGUAAACACGCAUGAGUUAGAGGUGCGAUUUUGGCAAUGUCGCGCUCAUUUGGACUACCUCAAAUAUGACUUUAUGCCCCAUGUUGCUCUUCUUUACAACCGGAGAAGUAGAAUUAAAGGAUGGUACCUACACCGAUUGGCCUGAAGUUCCGACGAAUUACUCGCAACAGGAAUAUGUCAUCCACCCCCUCUACCCGGUAAAACUGGCGCAUCCUAAUGCUACAGUGUAAUUCACCACAGCUGAUGGCACUACUGCACAACUCAACACAUCUGUACGCCAACCCACUCAACAAAAAGGAUGGGCAUCGGGAAAGCAGACUCACUUCGUCUCAUACUAUUCGCCCAUCAACAUUUUCGUUCGACACACUGCGCACAUCAUCAAUUCGAUAUUUUAUACAUCGGUACAAGUAUCCGUGUUUACGUUGGCACUCAACUCAAUUUUCGGUCAACAACACCCGUCCCGUCCCCGAUAGUGUGCAUUUUCGACAACAGCGAUCUGGCGCGCUAUCUUGUUCUACCAUUUAAGUCGAUUACUUAAAUAACUAAAACCCUUAAUUAUAAGUAAAUAAU